UUGUGUGAGGGAUAGCAGCGAAAAUCCUUUUUAUCAUGUAGCGUAAGCGAAAUGAAAAAAGAUUGCAGCGAAUAGCCCGACCCUUG
rnacentral:sRNA from 1 species